CAGGAGAGGGAGGAGCCGCGGAUCCACACCAGCAGCGCCGUUACACGGGUCAAAGUUGAGGGGAAAAUUCUAUGGGCGGGACUUCUCUUUGAUUGACAGGUGGAUUGUCGUAUCGAUGGUCUGGUAGCCAUUCCCGGAAAUGGAGACUCGGUCGGUGCAAAUAGUGGUGCAAGUUGAGGAGUUAGUGUUUGAUAGUAAAUUGUUCAGUUCAGUCUCAUGGCAGAAGGGUGUUGCCGGAGAGCAUGUGGGGUAAAGAGUCUGUUGGAGGGGUUAUUUACAAUGCUGGUGGCUCUGCAGACUCAGCUUUUAUGGGUCGUGGGGAAACCUGGAGCCUAUCCCAGGGAGCAUCGGGCACAAGGCGGGGUACACCCUGGACAGGCUGCCAAUCCAUCGCAGGGCACACUCACAUACACACUCACACACCCAUCCAUACACUACGGACACUUUGGACAUGCCAGUCAACCUACCAUGCAUGUCUUUUGGACUGGGGGAGGAAACUGGAGUACCCGGAGGAAACCCCCGCAGCAGGGGGAGAACAUGCAAACUCCGCACACACAGGGCCACGGUGGGAAUCGAACCCCCGACCCUGGAGGUGUGAGGCGAACCACUAAGCCACUGUGUGCCCAUUUUCGCUAUCUGCUGUAGGUUAUUCCAACAGUGCAUUUCUCCAGUUUCUGGCCAUUUUGGAACCCUAGGUUAAGAAACUGCUUAUCAUGGCGAAUGGAAGGAAAACCUGAUGUUGACUAUAUUCAUGUGGCAAGCAUGGAGGAGAAAAAAAUCAAUUGCACUUGCAGUUUGCACUGCCACGUAUACUCGGUGCAAAAGAUUUUUUUUUUUUUAAUGACCUUAUCUACCACCACUAUGAUUAACAUCAUUGCUAUUUAUACCACAGAGCUGGACAAUUUUCAAAUCUGAAAGAAGGUCAGCAGGUGUGAUGGCUGUAAUUCAAAUCACAGGUUUAUAUGUGCUCAUCAUAUUAUAUUAUUGUUUCUAUAGAAACAGCUAUGUCACAGGGACUUGUAUGGUGGCCGAUCCAUAUUAUUAUAAAAAGUUUUAUAAAAAAUGAUGUUAUUUGACAAAGACAUGUAAUCAUUGAUACGGUGAAGCUUUCUGUAAGUUUAUUUAACAUUUAUGGAUGGAGUCUCCAGUACAAGUGCUUUGUAAAGAUUGGUAAGUUUUCUACCAUGGGAAAGAAUUUAGCACACUUUAGUUUGCACUUUGUGGUAUCUCAGUAACAUGACAAGCUGUGUUUUUAUUGUUGUUGUUGUUGUUGUUGUUUUAUGAAAUUCAAUACAGAGAAAAAUUAAGAGGGGGGUGAGGGAAUGACUGUUUAUAGCUGCCAUAAUGUAAGUGAUAACAGGACUUAGCUUGUCUCAUUGAUGACAUCUAAGUAUUUCUCAUCAAUCUACAAAACAAAGUCCAUAAUAAUAUAAAGCAUAAACAGGCUUUCACAAUUGUUUGUAAAUGUAUUUUGUAAAUGUACACAAUUGUUUGUAAACCUGUGGUAAAUUGUGUUUGUUGAACAUGCAAAAAAAAAAAAGAAAAAGAAUUUAACCUAUUACGGCUAUGAUAUAACAACAAGAGAGAAAAAAAUAAGAGGGUUCUGAAUACGUUCUACAUUUCCAAGAGAUUAAAUGCAUACAGUAGGAUACUUCACUGUUUUAUCUACAGCAACAAAGAAAACAGAGAUAAUGUUGGAAAUAAAGCAAGUCAUUUGAAGUUUUGAAGUGUUUCUGAUUUAAUUUAUGUUUACUCAUGAUUACAUUUCGGUGACAGCAGCAUCCUUUACUUAUGUGAUACACAACCUUGUUUGGCUAUGGAAGGCUACACUAUGAAAAGUGCUCCUGUAUGUAGUUCUUCCCACUGUUCUUUACUAACUGGCUAAGGCAGAGAACAUCUAAUCUCUUCCUAAACCUCUUUCCCUCUCCGGACACGCUGUCAUUUUCCUACCACUCUCUCUCCUCUCAUUCCUUCCUCACACUUGAUUAACAGUGAGAAAGAACACCAAGCUCUCGACAGGGGAUUCUGGCUAGGGAAGUAGGUGUCUAUACAUUAAUGUGGGUAUGUGCUGUGUGUGUAUUAUUCUUGUCACAGAUGUUUUCUCUGAAUAAUGGAUGCUAUAAAUAUAGUGCUGAAUAGACAAUAGACAAUAUUUCCCAAUCCUGGUCUUGGAGUACCACCACCUGCACAUUUUAGUGUUUCCUCUCCUGUAAUGUGUAAUAAAGUUUGUCGUGCCCGGAUACACUGACUCUCGAGGAAUUAAUGAAAUCCCAAAAUCCAGUCGUUCUAAUUCACACUCCUGUUCCUCAGUUUCAUUUGUUGUAAACUAGAUAUAUAGCACACCUCCGCACUGGGAUCGUGAGGUUUUGUGAUCAUCUGGUGUAGUUAUGAGAACUUUUGUCAGUUCUGCUUGUCUGGUUUUUAAUGUUGCACUGAUGUUUCUCCACAUCACUCUGUAUGUGCUUUGAAGUGUUUUUGACUAUGCUUCUGCCAUUUUGAUUCUGCCAGUUGUAUCUGUCUGCUUCCACCUCUUCAUGGCACACUAGUAGAAGGAUCUUGGACCCAGACCUCCAUGCAGAAUGUUUCAAUCUCGUUUAUAUUCUGAAGUUUGUGCCUAGGGACUGCCUUCUUCAGUUAAGAGAACAUGUUUUCAUUAGAAAUGCAACACUUCACAUGUGGGAGUGUCCCAGACCAGCCACACAAUCAGGAAUUUCUGCACAAACAGUCAGAAUUUGUCUUUGGGAAAGAUGCUCGAUGUCCUUAUCGGGACACUGAUCCCGAUAACUGACGUGAGUGGGUAACAGUUCACCUGCACCUCUGCUGAUGCUGAGAAUGUCACCCUGAAGCUCGGUGUCAAACCAUUCAUCCAUCACAAUCAUCUUGAAUGCCUCCAUGUGGCAUGCUUUCUGGCAGCUCAAUAUGUUCCAGUUCUUCCAUGGCCUGUAUACUUGCAUCAUCUUUGUGAUGCAUGGAUCAGUGCGUAUGACAGCAUGUUCCAGCUCCCACAAAUAUCCAAAAAUUUUAUAUAGCUAUAGCAGAACCUGAUCAAAUCUAUGUGAAGGAGAUGUCACAUUGCUACAGGCAAGUCGUGCUCACACCAGAUAUAAAUGUGGUAGUUCUGUUUCACAACCCACACAGUUUUUGGGGUAUCAGCGAACAAGGGAGGCAUAUUUGUAUUCUCAAACUAGUUGAAAUCAAUAGAUAAGAACCUACUGAUUCUAUUUCGGUUGAUGGAUUUCCAUUUGUUAGCUUAUUUUCAGUACAAUCUUUGAAAUGGCUGGGUUUUGUGUUUAUGUUUUUGGGACUGUGAUCUUAAGAACUUCAUCAUAACAAAGUCUUAACCUCCUGGCUGAGACAACCAGGUUUGUGGUUAAAUAUUCUGGUACUCGGUGAACGUCAUGAUGGCAUCAAAUAUCAAGAGCCCCUGAACCACCAGCCACACCACAACCCCAAAGCAUCAGUGAUCCACCACCACCCAUCCACAAUUUACAGUGUGUUUGGGUCUUUUUCUUGUAUGUAGCCUCCUUUUUUGCAUGAAUAUUUAAAUUUUGUUCUCAUCUGACCAGAAGACAGAUUUCAACUGUAGUUCCAAUGACGCGUGUUGAAAUUCAGCUGCUGAAUUUUGUGUGUUGUUUUUAAGAAGGGUUUCCGUCUUGAGACCAUUUCAAGUAACUUGUUAUAUCUUUGGUGUAUAAUAUGAUGUAUAAUUUGAUGUACAAUGUGCAAUUGAAAUAAAUGAAACUGCGGUUAUUGGGCUCUUGUCUCGCUCAGAAUUCUCCUCACAGUAUGAUCACAUGUCUUCUUCCCGAGAAAUUUCUAAGUGAGACUUUUUAAAGUCUUCGAAAUGCUUCUGAAACUCUUUGUAACUCCAGACUUUUGAUACAUUUUUAUUAUGGCCUUGAUUGUGCAGAUUUUUUAAUAUUAAGUACACAUGAAUAUUGAUUAAAUGAUUUUGUGUAGGUAAAUAUCGAUCUGUCUCUUUAUGUUGAUUGUUCUUCGGUUUUCCCCAAAGGCAACAACAGAGUUUCUGGAAACUGAAAGUAAAAUGUAAAGAAAAUGAUUUGUUGAAAGAUGCCAAUUUGUUGCAUUUUAAAUAUUCCCCAGUGGUGUCGAUUUUUUUUUGUUGUUGUUGCAAUUAUGUAAAUGGAAAUUUUUAUGCACUAUAUGUAAUGUUUAUUUUAUACAAUCAGUUUUGCCAAUUAUUUUAAAGGUUACCAAUAUAUCUGAAGAAAUAGUCCCUGUUACACUGAAAAUAAUUUAUUUAUUUAAUUUAAUGACAUUAAAGGUGCAUAGACUUUUUGUAUUGCAGUGGAAUCCAUAGUAUAGUGAAAUCUCUGAUGUGCAACCACUGAAAAUCAUGUUCCUACAUCGUUUCAAAGGCUGAUACGAUGAGUGCAUAAUGCUUG